AAAAUGCCUCCCAUAUAUAGUGGCACUCAGGUGACCUGAUGAAGAAUCAGUUUGUUUUCUUUUGCUUCAAAUACACCUUUGCGCAUAUUUUUGCACAUUGUGGGGAUACAGUACAGAGCCAUGUAGUUCUGCCUUCGAGGAAAAACAGGAAGUGAAAUCAUGAAUGGGAUAUUUCUGCUCCUUAAAAGGUGGGCAGUAGUCAUGUAACUUACACUUAAAGAGCAAUUUAGCACCAAUUUAACUAUUAACCCACCCACCCCAAUUUAACCUGAAUUUAAUUUUCAAGUCAACUAAGAGGUUUAUACUGUGUUAUAAGCCCACUUGCUACUCACCUUCCUACUUCUGCAGUAGCUACAUUCAAUAUGUGUGGGUAGAAUUCAUUAUAAUUAACACAAAAUGAAAACAUAAUUGUCUGGUUUUAUGGCUUGGCUCCUUAAAAUAAACAUGGUAAAUAUUCUUUCAGCUGUUAUUUUUUCCCCCUCAAAAAAAAAAAGAGUUGUAGAUACACCCAACUAUUUUAUGGGAAGAGGCGCUUUAAAAUACCUGUUAUUGACCUUUUAACCUUCUCUCUUCCCUUUAGACCAUUAUUUUUGGUUUCAGGUCAACCCAGUUUAUUAGAUUACUUGCCGCAAACUUGUCAUCAGCUUAGAGAGAAUGUGCAACUUUCUUUGAACCCGGAGGCUUGGGCCCUCGCAGAAGAUGCUUGAGCACCAAGGUGGAACAACCACAAUCCAAACAAGAAUAGGUGUUGGAAGCAGCUUGGGGGCCUUCUGUCUGCCAACUAGGAACACCUACCUCAGGAAGUGGGGGAAAGGACACAGUGGUGUUAUGGGGGUAGGUCAAAAUGAAGAAAAUGUGGACCCACUAAAUCUGCCGCCCUCUCAGCCCCUGAUCCUGUCCCUAGGACAGGAUGAGAUUGAAGACCUGCAGGACAAAGCUAACUUCUUUCAUCCAUUGCCUACAGUACAAUUUGUUUUGAGGUAAGCCUGUUAACUUUUUUUUUGGUGGAAGCCCCGAAAAAAAAUUACAGUACUCUGCCAAAAUACUGAUAGAAAGAAAGAAAAGCAGAGAAGCUUAGGUGUUUGGAAGAUGCCUGACCUCAAGCCAUAUAAAUGUUCAGUAGAGUUUUGGAGUGAAAUUAGUUUUGCAGAAAUAAUCCAUAAACUCGUCAAAUACUUGUUCCACCUGAAUGGAAUGGUGCAUUCUAAAGUUAAGUGAGGUGCCUGCUUAGAAAUAAAAUGAAGAUGGCCAGAAAAUACUACA
rnacentral:lncRNA from 1 species